CAGAACACCCAGAUCCAUUUCAAUUUCAGAUAAAUAAUGAAUAAUUGUUUAGUUUAUGUAUGUUCCACAUAAUAUUUGGGACAUGCUUAUACUAAAAAGUUACUCAUUGUUUAUCUGAAAUUCAAAUGCAAUUGAGCAUUGUGUA
rnacentral:miRNA from 10 species